AUAUAAUAAAUUAACUAUGUAUAAAUUCCUCCAAACUA
rnacentral:sRNA from 1 species